rnacentral:snRNA from 1 species
GUGCUUACUUUGGCAGCACAUAAACUAAAAUGGAAAUGAUACAAAGAAGAUUAGCAUGGCCGCUGUGCUAGGAUGAUAUGCAAAUUUGUGAAGCAUUCCAUAUUAUU